GACGAACGCUGGCGGCGUGCUUAACACAUGCAAGUCGAACGGUGAAGUAGAGCUUGCUCUAUGGAUCAGUGGCGAACGGGUGAGUAACACGUGGGCAACCUGCCCCAGACUCUGGGAUAACUCCUCGAAAGAGGGGCUAAUACCGGAUAUUUGCAUUGCAAGACACCUUGUGAUGCAGAAAGAAUUUCGGUCUGGGAUGGGCCCGCGGCCUAUCAGCUUGUUGGUGAGGUAACGGCUCACCAAGGCGACGAGUGGUAGCCGGCCUGAGAGGGGGACCGGCCACACUGGGACUGAGACACGGCCCAGACUCCUACGGGAGGCAGCAGUGGGGAAUAUUGGGCAAUGGGCGCAAGCCUGACCCAGCAACGCCGCGUGAGGGAUGAAGGUCCUCGGAUUGUAAACCUCUUUCAGCAGGGACGAAGCGAAAGUGACGGUACCUGCAGAAGAAGCACCGGCUAACUACGUGCCAGCCGCCGCGGUAA
rnacentral:rRNA from 1 species